rfam:Cavia porcellus supercont2_70 genomic scaffold, whole genome shotgun sequence.
AGCUUCAAGAGGUUCAUAAGCGUGAUGAUUGGGUGUUCAUGCUCUAUGCAUGACAUGUGCCUCCUUUCAACCUUGUUACGACCUCGGCACAUUACCCGUCUGACA